ensembl:snRNA LOC120097280 U2 spliceosomal RNA
AUCGCUUCUCGGCCUUUUGGCUAAGAUCAAGUGUAAUAUUAGUUAUGAAUCAAUUCGUUAUUUAUGAAUAACCAAUGUAUCUAUAGAAACCCCAA